UCGCUGCUAGGCGAAAGAUUGUUGUUAGCCUGUUAGCCGCGCUGAAGUUAGUUUGUCGGUAGUUGUUGUUUUAACUCGGUACCUUUAGUCGUUUUUGAACGAAACGUUUUCAUAUCGCCUUGCUUUGAGCGCAAACCUGAAUGUUGUCAAAAAUAUGAGGAAAAGCUGAACAUAGCGCAGGUAGCAGUACAGAUUAGCCUGGUACAUCGGACACACAGACUGUUACUCCAGGGCCUGAUGGAGAAUCAACCCUUCGAGUCACUAUUUUGUGAAUGGACGUUACGUGUGAGGGAAUGUUGCCACCAGCACUGUAACGUCAACCGAAGCGUCACAGAAACACCACGUGUUCAUCCUGUGCUGCUCUACCAAGCUCCCUCUGGAUGUUUGUCAAAUCAGGAUUGACACAAACACUCCUAUGGCACUGGGCGGCUGAUUGUCUCAGGGAUCUUGCAUUGGCAUGCAAACAUCAUCUUGUUUCCAUGUUAUGGACUUUCACUCACACACACAUACUGGUUCUGGCAACCCGUGGAUGAUGGCAUUAGCCUUCCUCUUCUCAAUUUCAUCUUGCUCACAUACAUAUAUAUUCCUUCACAGUAGACUGGACCAUCAGUCUUUUCAAGUCUACCACUUGAGUUCUGCUUCUGUCACACAUUUAACAGAACCAUUUCAUUACUUUGUCUUCUAACACAGUGUACAUAUCCGUGUCAAUGUUGCAGCAUGGCUUCAGGUGAAACCACAUGAAACAGGACUCACUCGGCAUCUCCUCAUGUAUUCAACACACUAAGCAGGAUCCUUGCUAGCCGCUGGUUGAUGUCUUCGCUGUGAGGGGUUAGCCGCACUUUGCAGACCUGUCUCAGCUUUCACCUGUCCUUUUGCGUCAUUUUGUACGCCACCGUCACGGCUUGUCCUCGCCAGGAUCUGACGUUGGCUGGCUUUGCACCCAUAUUGUUAACAAUAGAGACCUUUGACACAAAACUAAAAUCCUCAUCUCUACAAAGCCAUUAUCCUGCCAACCCUAGUGUACAGAUCUGAGAGCUGGACAACCGACAAGACCACCACCUGAAGACCUUCAAGCGAUUCCACCAAUGCUGCCUGAGGAGUAUCCUCUGCAUCCGGUGGGAAGACUACUGUACCAACAUCAGCAUCCCGGCUGAAGCCAAGCUCCAGACCAUCAAGUGUGCCAUCAUCAAGAACCAGCUUCGGUGGGUGGGUCACAUUGUUAGGAUGGAUUUCAACUGACUUCCCAAGCAGAUCUUCUACUCCCAGUAGAGUGACAGAAAACAGUCCAGAGGAGGGCAAAAGAAACACAACCAAAACAAAAACAAGAAGAGUAUAUACUGUAACAUGUCUUCUAUUUGUAAGAGUUUUAUUUUUUAACUGUUAGGAGUACUAAGUCUACCAGAGACUUUUUGAAUGUUUAUGCUAAAAUAAAAGAAUUUAUUUAUUUGUGAGUAAAACAACCUGAAAAUCAUUUAAUAAUGUAGAGUGUGCAUGCCUUCAUGUGGUGCUGCUUUUUUUAUUACAUCCACCAAGG